UUAAGUUCAGCGGGUAUCCCUACCUGAUCCGAGGUCAACCCAGAAUAAAAAUUGGGGUUGAGAGGCAGACAUUUAUCUGACAGAAGCGAUGAAGUUUCCUAGACGCUUGAAGCCAGGCAGUGUCGCCGUUGCAUUUGAGGUGUGUCCACCGGAAUGGACAGCACCCAAGACCAGGCCUACAAGUAGGCUUGAGUUUAGCA
rnacentral:misc_RNA from 1 species